rnacentral:rRNA from 1 species
AUUGAACGCUGGCGGCAUGCCUUACACAUGCAAGUCGAACGGCAGCGGACCUUCGGGUGCCGGCGAGUGGCGAACGGGUGAGUAAUAUAUCGGAACGUACCUUUCAGUGGGGGAUAACGUAGCGAAAGUUACGCUAAUACCGCAUAUUCUGUGAGCAGGAAAGCAGGGGAUCGCAAGACCUUGCGCUGAUUGAGCGGCCAUAUCAGAUUAGCUAGUUGGUGAGUAAGGCUCACCAAGGCGACGAUCUGUAGCGGGUCUGAGAGGAUGAUCCGCCACACUGGAACUGAGACACGGUCCAGACUCCUACGGGAGGCAGCAGUGGGAAUUUUGGACAAUGGGCGCAAGCCUGAUCCAGCCAUGCCGCGUGAGUGAAGAA